GUAGGGUGCGAGCGUUGUCCGGAAUUAUUGGGCGUAAAGGGCUCGUAGGCGGUUUGUCACGUCGGGAGUGAAAACUCGGGGCUUAACCCCGAGCCUGCUUCCGAUACGGGCUGACUAGAGGUAUGCAGGGGAGAACGGAAUUCCUGGUGUAGCGGUGAAAUGCGCAGAUAUCAGGAGGAACACCGGUGGCGAAGGCGGUUCUCUGGGCAUUACCUGACGCUGAGGAGCGAAAGUGUGGGGAGCGAACAGGAUUAGAUACCCUGGUAGUCCACACCGUAAACGUUGGGCGCUAGGUGUGGGACUCAUUCCACGAGUUCCGUGCCGCAGCUAACGCAAUAAGUGCCCCGCCUGGGGAGUACGGCCGCAAGGCUA
rnacentral:rRNA from 1 species